AGGACCACCCCUUCCCGAGUCCCGGAGCUGUGCGCCCCCAGAUCCUGGGGCUAAGGACUGGUUUGGGCGCCCAGAGAGCCAGUAAGAUAGUUACCUGUCUCUGGUGGUGCGGGUGGUCUGGGCGUCAGUCUGUCUCCCUGGCACCCAUCACUCUCGCUUAAACCGGGUGGCAAGUCCUCCCCGAAGGCAGAAGUGGCUGGCAUGGAUCUCUCUCAAGGAGGCUCAGCUCCAGGCUGGGGGACUCGGUCACCGGGGCUGUCUAUGCCCGUCCAGGACGCCGCGAAUGAAGCCAUUCUGCAGGUCGCUCGCCACCAAGCGCUCUUCAAAUGUGCGCAGAAUGAAGGCGAAGCACACCUAAGAUCUUCUCAUGGCAUACUGGUUGAAAAUAACUGGUGUAAGAGCUCUUUCCUGACCUCUCUAGUCUCUGCACCUGUCACCAACGGUGACCUUCAGCCAUCGCCGGUAGCUACUGGCUACCAGCAAGAGAGAUGUGGAGUUCAGAGAAACAGCUUCAGAAAGCUUGAGACUCCUGGGAAUUCACUAAGGUUUCCCUUCCCUCCCUACGCAUUAAGCAAGGAGGAGCUAGAUAUUUCAUCAAAUAAUCCAAGAAGUAGCCCUGUGCCAUGGAGUGCCAUGAAGAAGCUCAAAUGCCAGCAAAAUGCCACCCAGGGUAGGAAGCAGGAGGUGGAUGAUGGUCUUCCUAGAAGAAGAACUGACAACUCAUCAUGGACGUAAAAGACAAGACUAAUUCCCAUCUAAAACAACUUCAGGAUUCUUCUCGCCAUGGUGGCUCGGGCAACCAGCCAUUCAUCGGGGUAGCAUUUGAAGUGGAACUCAUUUGCUCUUCUAGAUAAAACCCAUGGAUUCAUGGAUCAGACCAGAGCGCCCCCUUUCCAGCACUGAGGCUGAAAUGGUGCUAUGGAAGCUGGGAGGCACUGGACGCUUGUCAGAGGCUGUCAUUGAAAUGACCCCAGAAGUCACAGGAUAUGACCUUCGAGAAGCUGGGUCCCAUCAAAGAGGGGUCUUUACUCAUGCAGAACAUUUCUGUAUGAAUUUGCCAAAGCAGAUGGCAUAGCUGCCCAAGGGAGACAGGCUGGGUUUACGAAAGAGCACCAAUAUCUGAGCACACAGACACUGCUCCGAACCCUAUCUGAGUAGAGGAAUUCCAUCCAGAUGGUGCCAGAAGGAGCUGCAGGGGGAGUGGGGGGGGGUUUCAGCAGAGACCUCUCAGAUCUGCUGCUGCCUCCCCAGGCCCAGGCUAAGGAGCAGCCUUAGAAGGCCCUUUGAGUGGAACUGUUGGCUGCCAGGCAUGGGACAACACCCUGUGGUCUCAAGAGCAAUGCUUUGGGAAUGGAAACUUCCACAGAUCAAUCAAAAUGAUCGGACACUUCAAAGAGCAGAAGGGAAGCGGGUGCCUGGAGAGGACUAUCACCAUGUACUCUUUAAGGGUCUGCACAGGCAACUGUAGCCCUCCCCAAAUGGGGAGGGUCUCCAACAGCCAGUGGGAGGGGGAGCCUGGGAUUCCCCUGUCCCUUGGCUCCCCCAAAGGGACUCAGGUUUCUUCUCUGUCUUAGAAAAGUCAACGCCGAGAGGAGGUGAGUGCUAGAAAAGCCAACGCUGAGAUGAGGUGAGCGCUUAUAGAUCAUUUUGCAGUGGAUUGUGGGAAACACCAGCUGGACAGUAAGCGUGUGAGAGCGGGAAGGGAAGACAGAAAAAAACAGAUCGGGAUCACUCAGUGGGAGACAGCAUAGAACAGACAUGUGAGUUGUCCCAUCUGAGGGACAACGGAGCUGGGCUCUGGUCUCCACUCCUAUCCAUCAUGCGGGGGUCAGAGCCCACAGGUGAAGGGCCCACAGACUCAGGCUCGAACUGGAACAGUGAAUGCUCAGGAGACACAUGCAGGGCCCAGCAACUCUGCACCAUCAUGUUACUCCAUCUUUUCUCCCCUUACUUCUUUCUUUCCUCUUUUCCUUUCCUCCACUUCACCUCUGGAUCCUUCCUUACUGUGCCUGAUGUUGCCAGCAUCUUUUCCUCGUGGUACCUGGAAUCCAGUGUUCCUUAAAGUGUGGUCCACCGACUUCCCAGAAUUCUUGGUAAAGGCCCUGUGUCACAGUGACAGCAGUGAUUUGCCAGUUUUGGAAUCUCCAGGCCCUGCCCUUGCCCCCAUGUGACCAUUUGCCUCCUUUGGGUGCCACCAGCUGACCACCUUGCCUCCCUCCAAAUGCUUUAUCCAGCCACUGGACUGGCUGUCUCUCCAGUGUUACCUCUGCUCUGCACUGAACUUUCCCAGAAUUUAGGGUUGGACCUUUAUCUAAUAGAUGAGGAGAAGUGGGCCUCACCCCCACCUCCCAUCCAUUCACACCCAUCACAUCUGGCCAGUUGCUCCUCGGGGUGACCGUGAUCCACAGGGAAAGAAAGUCAGAAAUUAAAGUCCUUCUGUUCAAACAAGCAGUCACAGCAAGGCACCCAUGGCUUUGCUGUGUGCAGCUCAAUGUCCCAUUCAUAGGGUAACACACAGUCACAUCAAGGUACCAGCAGUGCCAGACAGCGUGAUACAGCCACGUGCAAAGCCAGGGAUAAUUUUACAGUGUGUGCACAGUGACACAGUCAGCCACCAAUCACACACAGUAACGCUCCUUUUCACAAUAACAUGUGGGUACACAAAUUGUCACAGCAUGGAAAGAAACACAAUCAGCACAGAGUAGAGUAACAGUCACUGGAGACUCCAAAGGUGGGAGGGUAGGAGGGGGUGAGGGGGGAAAAAUGAACUAAUAGGUACAACGUACGCUAGUCAGGUGCCAGUACCCUAAAAGCCCAAAUUUCCCCACUGUGUAAUAUAUUCCAUGUAACAAAGCUGCUCUUGUACCCACUAAAUCUAUUGAAAUAAAAAAAAAUGUGCUACUUAAAAAUGUAUCCAGGCCUCACAAUAAAAUCAGCUCUUCCAAAAAAAAUAAAAAAGAAAGAAAAGAAAAGAAGAAGAAACACUGUUAGGAGCAACACAUGGUCCUGGACAUGUGAUCUUAUGGUGACAUCAUCACAUACCAUAUAAUACAAUUGCACAGCAAGACAGCGUCACAAACACAUGUGCACACAUGUAUGCACACACACAGUAACUCAGUCCACAGCAGCGCACAGGUGGAAAGAAAUCCCACAGAGCAACACACGGUGAUGGUCGUGACAAAACAACACACACGGGGAAGCAGAGAGGCAGGGACGCACAACCAUGUUGCCACUGACGGCACUGCAGUCACACAGAGCCUGGGAGGCACCAGGAGUGCGGUGGAGUUGCAGAGGGUGGGGGAAAGCGGCUUUGUUUGCACAGAUGUCUCCUAAAGCAGCCAGGGUGUUAUUUAGCUUCUUGGAUGAGCUAAUGGAUUGCAGCGGCUCGGGAGCCUGGAGGUUUGUUAGUGGCCCCUAGAGCAAGGGCUCCUCCUUCACGCUCCCCCACCCUCACUGACUUCUCCUUUCUCACUACGGUAGCUAGCCCCUGUCCCCAAAGCCAGGGCCCCGUUUGAACAAGAAGGGCAGAAGCUGAACAAAUAUUUGCAGCAGGCCUCACUUGGCACUUACAGGCAGGGGGCUUCCUUCUGGGACUGAGAACUAGCCUGUGCCAGGCAGAUUCUGCUCAGCAUGGCCUGGGUGGGAGGUCCCGGCCAGGCUGGGCUCUGUCCUGCUGGGGGCCUCUGUCUCCCACUUGCCCCACUGCCUUCCCUUCCAUUCACAGCUGGCCUCUCCUCUCCUGAGAGUGGUGUCUACACCUGCCACCUUGCCUCUCGUCCACACCCCGAAUGGAAUCACCCAGAGCCUCCAAUGUCAUCUUCCUUUUCCCCGGCCACUUUCUGGCCUGGGCUGCCAUUGACCACAUUGUGUCCUCUCCCACCGCAUUUCAGGCAGACAUCUCCACACAGCCCUUUCCUGCGUGUCGCUUAAGUCCCUCUUCCUGUCUCCUUCCCAGGCUCUACUCUGGCAUGUUGGUGCCCUCUUGGCUCUCAGUCACUGACCCUCCCUAAAUGCCCCCAGGAAAUCUUUCUUUUCUUUCCUUUCCUUUCCUUUUCCUUCCUUCCGAGACAGAGUCUCACUUUGUUGCCCUUGGUAGAGUGCUGUGGCAUCACAGCUCACAGCAACCUCCAGCUCUUGGGCCUAGGCGAUUCUCUUGCCUCAGCCUCUCAAGUAGCUGGAACUACAGGCGCCCAUCACAACUCCUGGCUAUUUUUUUGUUGUUGUUGAAGUUUGGCCGGGGCUGGGUUCGAACCUGCCACCCUCAGCAUAUGGGGCCAGCGCCCGACUCACUGAGCCUCAGGCACUGCCCUGCUGGGCAGCUUUCUUUUGGUACUUGCUAUCUGUAUGGCCUUGGGGAAGUUACUUUGCUUUUGUUUACCUCACUUUCCCAUCUGUAAAAUGGGGGCAAUGAUAAUUUCUACCUCAUAGGGCUUUGUAAUGACUAAGAUUAAAUGAAUUAAUAUACAUGAAGUGUUUAGGAGAGUACCUGGCAUGUAGUAACUGCUACAUAAUGAUUGGCUAUUUGGCUGUUAUCUUUACCCCUAAUAUAGCAAAAACUUACAUACCUGCAUUUGUAACAAAUGAGAGAUACGAUUUGCUAGCUUCCUGGAGCUGGAAAGUAAAGGGAAAUGAGCAAUUAAAGACUGACAGAUGGCUGGGCGUGGUGGCUCAUGGUUAUAAUCCUAGCUCUCUGGGAGGCCUGAUGCAGGUGGAUUGCUUGAUCUCAGGAGUUCAAGACCAGCCUGAGCAAGAAUAAGACCUCAUCUCUACUAAAAAUAGAAAAAUUAGCUGGAGUCCCAGCUACUCGGGAGGCUGAGGCAGGAGGAUAGCUUAAGCCCAAGAGUUUUGGGUUGUUGCUGUGAGCCAUGAUGCCUUCUCCAUCAGGGUGACAGAGUGGGACUCUAUCUAAUAAUAAAUAAAUAAAAUAAGUAAAGACUAACAGAUGCCCUCAGAAGCAUGGGCAGAUAUGACUGGGAAAGUCUCAACUUAUAAACCACAAGCAUGUUGGUUUCCCAUAGGGAACAUCUCCCACUGGAACAUCUCCCAGCCUCCAAGAUGGCCCAGGGUUUCUUUCUCCGGGAUCCAUGUCUUUGGGCAGUCCCCUCUCACACUGAACAGGGCUGACCCAUAUAACCUGUUCAAUAUUGUGGAAAUAACAAUAUGUGACUCCCAAGGCUAUAAACUUAUCACAAAAGACAGUGCAGUUUCUACCUUGCUCUCUCUUGGAUCACUUGCUCUGGGGGAAGCCAGGCUGGGUGUUGCUAGGACACAUGGGUAGCCCUAGAGCAAGAUCCAUGUCAUGAGCCAACUGCUGAAACCAAUUUGCUGUCCAGAUGAGUAAGUCACCUUCUAAGUGGCUCCUCAGUCCCCGUCAAGCCUUCUGAUAGAUGACGGCUAACAUCGGGACUGCAAGCUCAUGAGAGACCCAAAUCAGAACCUCCUCCUAAGCCUCGAAUCGUUAACUCACAGAAACCAUGAGAGAUAAUAAAAUUGAUUGUUUUAAACCACUGAGUUUUGAGGAAGCUAUCACUAGAAAGUUUAAUGUUUUAAAAAUGGGAAGGGUUCAUUAAAUCAUGUUUAUCCUCCAGGAAAUAUAUAUUUUUAUAUAACCUUUGGAUUUCUUAGUAUAUAAGAUUAUAUAUUCACAAUAUGAAUUCCUUUAGAAAGAGCAUCUAUUCUUGGACUUGUAUUUAUUUUAUCGGGUAUGUGCUUGAUUUAUGGUCAGCAUCCAAUAGCUGUUGAAUAAAGGAACAAAAUGUAAUAUAUUACCUAUGUAUCAAAAUGCCAAAUAUGUUAACUUCCUGUUCUUUGC